UACGGAGGGAGCUAGCGUUGUUCGGAAUUACUGGGCGUAAAGCGCACGUAGGCGGCUUUUUAAGUCAGGGGUGAAAUCCCGGGGCUCAACCCCGGAACUGCCCUUGAAACUGGAAAGCUAGAAUCUUGGAGAGGCGAGUGGAAUUCCGAGUGUAGAGGUGAAAUUCGUAGAUAUUCGGAAGAACACCAGUGGCGAAGGCGACUCGCUGGACAAGUAUUGACGCUGAGGUGCGAAAGCGUGGGGAGCAAACAGGG
rnacentral:rRNA from 1 species